rnacentral:rRNA from 1 species
AGCAGCCGCGGUAAUUCCAGCUCCAAUAGCGUAUAUUAAAGUUGUUGCAGUUAAAAAGCUCGUAGUUGAAUUUCGGGAUUUGUCAGUUGGUCGGGCUUCACUGUCCGUAUUGACUUGAUGGAUUCUUACCUUCUGAAUAACCAGCAUGCUAUUAAGUUAGUGCGUUGGGGAAGCAGAUCUAUUACCUUGAAAAAAUUAGAGUGCUUAAAGCGAGCUAGUGCUUGAAUAGAUUAGCAUGGAAUAAUAAAAUAGGACGGCAUGGUUCUAUCUUGUUGGUUUCUAGGAUCACCGUAAUGAUUAAUAGGGAUAGUUGGGGGCAUUAGUAUUCAAUUGUCAGAGGUGAAAUUCUUGGAUUUAUUGAAGACUAACUUCUGCGAAAGCAUUUGCCAAGGAUGUUUUCAUUAAUCAAGAACGAAAGUUAGGGGAUCGAAGACGAUCAGAUACCGUCGUAGUCUUAACCAUAAACUAUGCCGACUAGGAAUCGGACGAUGUUAAUUUUAUAAUGACUCGUUCGGCACCU